CAAUCCCAUGCCAUAAAGAAAGGAAAUUUUCUUCGUAUGAUCCUUCUGAGAACAUCAUACAUAGAGCUACAAAGUGUUAACACCAGAAGAGGUGAAUUCAAUUUUCUAAUAAUUAGCAUAUUAAAAAAAUAUUUUUUUUCUUAAUAAUAGAUCUACAGUCAAUGCCAAACUUACCCAUAAAACUAUUGGCAUGGCCCAACAAAUCCUGUAACAUUACAGCAAGUUCAAAUCUGAACAAAAAUGAUAUUGUUGCAUCGCCAUCCAAAAAGCACAUUAUCUAACUUUGCGAAAAUUGUGCACACCACCAAAAAUUUAAGUCAGAUCACACAACUCUAGCCAUACAAAAACCCUUUUUUUUUUUUUUUCUUGAUAUCAAAUUCGAAAUCCUGUCCUGAGUUCUGCAUCAUGCCAUAUUCACUCCAGUCUUAAACUUUCUUUUAAGUGGUUAAUCUAAGACGAUUGUAGAGCUCAAAACUCAUUAAGCUACAACUGAUCAACGCCUACUAAGAUCAGAAAUUCCUUGCCCUGUAAUAGAAAUUAGUUAAAUAGAAGAUUCUUUUAGGUUGAAUGAAGUGAUGGAGCUGCCCACAAUUUCACUUUCUUGUCAACACUGGCGGUGGCCAACACCAAGGCCUGUCCAGUACCUGUGAAAUGACAUUAUUGGGUUAUCAAUCACGUAUCCAGAAUAUUUCCUACACCCCCUAAGGCUAGGUAGUAAGAGCACCUAGAUGGAUAGAUAUUGGGGAUUCAAGAAUUGAAAUGCUCUAAUUUUUAAAACCAGACAGUUAAUUGACAAAUCUUAUUAAUUGAAGAUGAAUUACCCAUUGGAAUCGUCUUAGGAGACCAUGCAAUCCAUGUGAUUUGACCAUCAUGGGCCUUGUCAGCUGUGUCCAGAACAUUCCCAGUAUCCACACAUAACCACUGCAAUGUUGAACCAUGGGUUGCUGCCAGUAUCUUCCCAUCAGGGGAUAAGCUGAGUCGAUCAUAAUGCAAAGUAGCGCCACUUGAAUCAUGAAGUGGAAUUGGAAACACCUUUACAGUCUUCGGAUCCUCAUCAAGAUGGUAUCGAACUAGAAGAAUAUCAAUUAAGGGAUCUCAGCAUCAUGAUCAUGAUUAUAUAGUUGCCAACACAAGAACCAAGUCUGCAAACCCAUAAAUCUACCCAGAAUCCAAAAGCAAAACAUGUCAAUGCUAUCCAAGAAAUCUUUCUGAUAUAGUAGCCUCACUAUUUCAUUUGGUACUUAUAUUUAUCCUUAUCUCUCUCGUAUAUGUGCACUCGAUGGAGAGGUGGGAUGGAUAAAGGCAGUGAGCUGAAGAUAACUCUGGAGAAUCAAAGUCCAUGGAAUAAAAAAAGAAUAUAACUACAAAAAUAAAUAGGAUUUUUUUUCUUUCUCAAACCAUUUCAUUUAUUGAGAACACUAUUAAAAUUUAGCAGCAACACAAAGAAGAAAUCAUUUACCAUUAUAGCGUGAAAUGCAGAAGUUAUGCUUAGAUGUAGAUAUUUUCUUAGAAAUCAGAAGCACUUCAUAGAAAUACAUAACAAAAAAAUUAUUACUUUGGCAUACCAUUGAUGUUCCAAAUUCUUAUAGAACCAUCUUUGGAUGUCGUGAUGAUUUGCUCUGAGUUUGAAGUAAAGCAUAACCAAGUCACUGCACUCUUGUGCCCUUUAAGCUGCAUAACUUUUGGAACCUCUUUAACAGAACCGUCCUUUGAAUAUACAAUCUCCCAAACCUUCACAUCUGCAGUAAAAGCCGCAGCAGCAAUAAAACGUCCAUUUGGUGAUAUAGCAGCCAUGGUGUUCUUCAAUUGAUUUGUAUCAACACUCCCCAAAUUCUUCCCAGUCUUUCCAUGCCAAAGUUUGAUAUCAGUAGCCUCUGAACAAGAGGCAAUAACAGUACUCCCAUCGGCACUUCCAUAAGUUGCAGCAGCUCCAACUAAAGUCAGAACAGCACUUUUCUUGUGCAAUUUGUGAUGUUCCCAUUUGAUUUCUGGUAAAGGAGGCUUAGAUUGCUGCUUGGAUUCAUUAGCAGGUUUAGCCUUUUCUUCUCCAUACAUAUAUAAAGAUGCACCGAAGUGAGUUUCAGAAGCCACUACUACAGAAGAUGCAUCAUCAGAAAAGGCCACAGCCACUGGAUGACCUCCAGCAGGUAAAUUAAUUCUUAGAAAUUUGAAACUUUUACUUGAAGCAUCAUCCAACUUAAACACCCUGACCACUCCAUCUGCACAAGCAGUUGCCAAACUCCGUCCAUCAUUAGAGAAACACAGCCCAGUGACUGAAUCUCCAUGACCUUUUAGAGUGUUCAAAUCCAAUGGGUGAUGCCGCUUAUUUUGAUCCUUGUCAGAAGCAUGAGAGUGAGGUUUCGAGUGAGAUUUCUUGGUUAUAGACUGAGCAGGCUUCGUGGGCUUCUUAGGAUCCGAAUGGAGUUCCGGUUUGGCUAUGGAUUUAAUUUCGGAUUUUCUCUUGAUGAAAUAGGUUUUGAAGAAGAGGAGAGCGAUCAGAGCACCGAGAAGGAUCGAGACAACCGCAAUGGGAAUAACCGGAUCCAUUUUGUUCGCUGGAGAGUAUCAAGAGUUCUAGGGUUUUGAGAUUGUCAAUAACGAGUAUGACGGUGGCAGCUACGAGGAUGCGUAUGCGUUGAAGUAUGGGGACUGGAAAUGGCGAGGGGAUGAUUGUACUAAAUAAAACAUAAAAGCAGAAUUUCG
rnacentral:misc_RNA from 1 species